UACAGAGGGUGCGAGCGUUGUUCGGAAUUACUGGGCGUAAAGCGCGCGCAGGCGGCCGUUUAAGUCUCACCGUUCAAGCCCGGAGCUCAACUCCGGUCCGCGGGGGAUACUGGGCGGCUAGGGACAUGUAGGGGCGAGCGGAAUUCCGGGUGUAGCGGUGGAAUGCGUAGAGAUCCGGAAGAACACCGGGGGCGAAGGCGGCUCGCUGGGCAUGGUCCGACGCUGAGGCGCGAAAGCGUGGGGAGCGAACAGG
rnacentral:rRNA from 1 species